AUGGCUUUGGAAGGCUGGAAUGUUCUGUCGUCUCUGGCAGUUUACGCGGAAGAUUCAGAGCCCGAGUCUGAUGGAGAGGCUGGAGUCGAAGCGGUGGACAGCGCGACUGAGGAGAAAGGUGGUUUAGUAUCUGAUGCUUAUGGAGAGGACGACUUUUCAUGCCUAGGGGGUGAUGAAGAUGGUUAUGAAGAAGAAGAGGAUGAGAACAGCAAACAGUCGGAAGAUGAUGAUUCAGAGACUGCAAAACCUGAGGGUGAUGAUCCAAAGGAUAAUAUAGAAGUAGAAAAGCGAGAUCCCCAGGAAUUAGUGGCCUCCUUUUCUGAAAGAGUCCGGAACAUGUCACCUGAUGAAAUCAAGAUCCCGCCAGAACCCCCUGGCAGAUGCUCAAAUCACUUACAAGACAAGAUCCAGAAGCUUUAUGAAUGAAAAAUAAAGGAAGGAAUGGUUAUGAACUACAUUAUCCAAAGGAAGAAAGAAUUUUGGAACCCCAGCAUCUACAAGAAGCUGAUCCAGUUCUGUGCCAUCAAUGAGCUCGGCACCAACUACCCAAAGGAUACGUUUGAACUCCAUGGCUGGUCUGAAGAUUACUACUAUGAGGCAUUAGCCAAGGCCCAGAAGAUUGAAAUGGACAAACUAGAAAAGGUCAAAAAGGAGCGAACCAAAAUUGAGUUUGUGACGGGCACCAAGAAGGGCACCAUGACCGUGCCACGGCCACUACCACCACCACCACCAGCACAGCCAUCACAGAUGCCCAAAAGAGAAAGAGCAAGUGACGACAGUAGCCCAGGCCACCAUCCUCACCACCACGGCCACCCUGCCAGCUGUUGUCACAGUCAUCACCAGCGCCAGUGGUUCCAAGACCACUGUCAUCUCUGCCGUGGACACCAUUGUGAAGAAGGCCAAGCAGUGGACUGGAGGGGCCACCCUAGGACUUGAAAGAACUGUGCAGCCCAAUGACCUGUGCCCACUGGGAAGUGCUACUUUGUGUAUUUCAGGACUGGAACUUGCUGUCCCAGAUGCUACCUGA